CCUUAGAUGUUCUGGGCCGCACGCGCGCUACACUGACAGAGCCAACGAGUAUAAACCUUAACCGAGAGGUUUGGGUAAUCUUGUUAAACUCUGUCGUGCUGGGGAUAGAGCAUUGCAAUUAUUGCUCUUCAACGAGGAAUAUCUAGUAAGCGCGAGUCAUCAGCUCGCGUUGAUUACGUCCCUGCCCUUUGUACACACCGCCCGUCGCUACUACCGAUUGAAUGGCUCAGUGAGACCUUCGGACUGGCUCAGGGAGGUCGGCAACGACCACCCAGAGCCGGAAAGUUGGUCAAACUUGGUCAUUUAGAGGAAGUAAAAGUCGUAACAAGGUUUAGAAUAAGAUCCUUUCUUGCAGUGAUCGCUUAUGAGAAGCCUUUGUGGCCCAGCAAUGGGUACCUGCCGCGACUAUAAACCAAAGAAUGCUAGGUAUUAAAUCGCAAGUCAGCUGUUAAAAAGUUGGCUACACUUUCGAAUUGCGGGAACACCCUAAAGCCUAACCUCCACCAACCAACGCAGGGAAAUCUGCUUGGGGCCUGUGCUAAUCACACGGGGUAUGGUAACAGUGAGGUGGGAUGCACCAAUGGGUAAUCCGCAGCCAAGUCCCUAAGGCUCUUAGCUAUGGGAAAGGUUCACAGACUAAGUGGAAGUGGGCUGCUCCUGUAGCAGCUUAAGAUAUAGUCGGGCUUGAUUGGAAACAGUCGAGGAGGUCACACACUGAACCUAAUGACAAACCGUUCCGUAGGUGAACCUGCGGAAGGAUCAUUAUGAUAACAACUCUUUGCUCACGCGAAGUUUUAAACCCACUGUGAACCAAAAAACCUUUGUAGCUUCGGUAGCCCUGCCGUGGUCUAGUGCCAUUGCAUGUCAGCCUGCCGGCAGCACCUAACCAAACUCUUGUUUUAAAAAAAUCUAGUCUGAAUCAAAAUUUUCGAAUGAAAAUCAAAACUUUCAACAACGGAUCUCUUGGUUCUCGCAUCGAUGAAGAACGCAGCGAAACGCGAUAGUUAAUGUGAAUUGCAGAAUUCAGUGAAUCAUCGAGUCUUUGAACGCACAUUGCGCCCCUUGGUAUUCCGAAGGGCAUGUCUGUUUGAGCGUCAUUACAAUCUCUCGUUAACAAAUUUUUUUGUUAUACGGUCUUGGGCAUUCUGUGACAGUCGCUUGGUUGAUAGAAAUGUUAGCCCGACUGCUUCUGCCUUAAAUCCAGUAACGAACGCUCCGCCAGGCAGGACUCGAAAACUUUACGUAGUAGUGAUACCCAUCGUCAAAGUUGUGUAGAGGACUGUGCUCGGCCUGAAAAAUUCUAGCCAACCUUUCUUAGGUUUGACCUCAGAUCAGACAAGGAUACCCGCUGAACUUAAGCAUAUCAAUAAGUGGAGGAAAAGAAACCAACAGGGAUUGCCUCAGUAACGGCGAGUGAAGCGGCAACAGCUCAAAUUUGAAAUCUGAUACUUUUAGUGUCCGAGUUGUAAUUUGAAGAGGAUGUUUCGGUUGUGACCGUGGCCUAAGUUCCUUGGAACAGGACGUCGUAGAGGGUGAGAAUCCCGUACACGGCUGACGGUUUACUUCCAUGUGUAACUCCUUCGAAGAGUCGAGUUGUUUGGGAAUGCAGCUCAAAAUGGGUGGUAAAUUUCAUCUAAAGCUAAAUACUGGCGAGAGACCGAUAGCGCACAAGUAGAGUGAUCGAAAGAUGAAAAGCACUUUGAAAAGAGAGUUAAACAGUACGUGAAAUUGUUGAAAGGGAAGCGUUUGCAAUCAGACUUGCUUUCGGUUGAUCAACGUUCCUUCUGGUUCGUGCACUCUGCCGUUCGCAGGCCAGCAUCGGUUAGAGCGGUGGGACAAAGACUCUGAGAAUGUGGCUCUCUUCGGGGAGUGUUAUAGCUCAGUGUGUAAUGCCAUCAGUUCUGACCGAGGUCCGCGCUUUUGCUAGGAUGCUGGCAUAAUGGUUGUAAACGAC
rnacentral:rRNA from 1 species